rnacentral:rRNA from 1 species
ACUCCUACGGGAGGCAGCAGUGGGGAAUUUUGGACAAUGGGCGCAAGCCUGAUCCAGCAAUGCCGCGUGAGUGAAGAAGGCCUUCGGGUUGUAAAGCUCUUUCAGUUGAAAAGAAAAGACACCGGCUAACUCUGUGC